rnacentral:rRNA from 1 species
AGCGACAGAUAAGGAGCUUGCUCCUUUGACGUUAGCGGCGGACGGGUGAGUAACACGUGGAUAACCUACCUAUAAGACUGGGAUAACUUCGGGAAACCGGAGCUAAUACCGGAUAAGAUUUUGAACCGCAUGGUUCAAUAGUGAAAGACGGCCUUGCUGUCACUUAUAGAUGGAUCCGCGCCGUAUUAGCUAGUUGGUAAGGUAACGGCUUACCAAGGCAACGAUACGUAGCCGACCUGAGAGGGUGAUCGGCCACACUGGAACUGAGACACGGUCCAGACUCCUACGGGAGGCAGCAGUAGGGAAUCUUCCGCAAUGGGCGAAAGCCUGACGGAGCAACGCCGCGUGAGUGAUGAAGGUCUUCGGAUCGUAAAACUCUGUUAUCAGGGAAGAACAAACGUGUAAGUAACUGUGCACGUCUUGACGGUACCUGAUCAGAAAGCCACGGCUAACUACGUGCCAGCAGCCGCGGUAAUACGUAGGUGGCAAGCGUUAUCCGGAAUUAUUGGGCGUAAAGCGCGCGUAGGCGGUUUUUUAAGUCUGAUGUGAAAGCCCACGGCUCAACCGUGGAGGGUCAUCGGAAACUGGAAAACUUGAGUGCAGAAGAGGAAAGUGGAAUUCCAUGUGUAGCGGUGAAAUGCGCAGAGAUAUGGAGGAACACCAGUGGCGAAGGCGACUUUCUGGUCUGUAACUGACGCUGAUGUGCGAAAGCGUGGGGAUCAAACAGGAUUAGAUACCCUGGUAGUCCACGCCGUAAACGAUGAGUGCUAAGUG